UGUAUUCUAUGGGUGGAAAAGACACACAGAGCAGUUAGCAUGAGUUGUAGUUUUCCCAAUUCCACAGUUCAUCAAUGAAGAACAGCAAACAAGGUCAGCCACCAUUGCUCAACAGGUAUUCAUAAUCUAAAUUAUUCCUUUGCUUUUUAUAAGACACUAAUUCGACUUUCUCUGUCUAAAAUAUGGCUAAUUGAUCGUGUUUAGAGAUAGGCAGAGGGUGAUUCAUAGCAGGAUCAGGAUCAUCUGGAGUAUGGCAAGGAAGAAAUUGAGUGGAUAAAAUAACUUGUUUUAGAUAGUAUCAUGAAAGGGUUUUGAUCUGGGAUGCAACAAUGACAUAGAUGCCAGCUACAAAGACUUUUGAAUCAGUCUUUUUAUUGCUGGUAAAAAAAAACUUGGUGGAUAUUUUCAAUGAAUUAAUUUUGCCACCAGCCUACAACUACAAUUUGCUAUUAUUGUUGAUGAAUUUUUGGGUGUCCAUUGCCAAUUUUAUCUACGACCACCAUUUUUCAAUCAGACAAUGAUCAGUGAAAUUUCUGAAUCCUCAAUAUUUUGGUAUUUAGGGUAUAUCUGUUUUUUUGUUUUCUUUUGAAAGGAACAAUCUUGCAAGUUUGCAAGGACGAACUUAUCAUUAUCUACUUUCAGAGUAUUACUUACAACCACACAGGUCAGUGUUUAAUCAAUUGGCAAAUUAUAAAUCUUAAUCGGUUGGUUGGUUAGUUGGUUAGUUGGUUAGUUGGUCAAACAAUUUAAUGUGAAAAAAGAGUUGCUGAUGUUUUGUAGGACAGUAAGAAGCCGGAGAGGCAGGCAAGACCGAGAAAUCUAAAGUCCAAGACGGAGGAAUAGACAAGUUAUGACAGUAGUAGGGCUGUGCGAAAGUUAAUUCUGGGCAUUGCUGUGAUACUUUUGAGUUUUGGCUGACACUAAGUUGUUGGAAUAGUGAUUGAUUUGCAGAAUCGCAGAGCCUUACCAUCAAAGAACAUCCAUAUAUAACUUCCAUUCAAGUGGCUUUAGAGAAUUAUAAUAACAUUGAGCAACUGAGCUGUUUCGCAGAAGAUAGCAAUUGAGCAACUGUGUGUAUUAAUUAAUUAAUUGAUAGAAGAUAACGAGGUAAUGAAUUCAAAUCACAAAAAUAGCUUAUUCUAUUUCCUUGCAUCAAAACACAAUAAAACAGGCAGUAAGCUCUGGAAUUCAAAUGCAUACUGUAACUCUGUAAACUUACAGACAG
rnacentral:lncRNA from 1 species